UGGGUCUGUGAACAUUGAUGGCCCCAAACAAGGAACAUGGUUAUUUUCCGCAAUGUAGUGGAUGGGCAACCUUUUACACACUGGUAUGAUAAUGGGAGCAACCAAGUGGCUUUUGGGAGAGGAAACAGAGGAUUCAUUGUUUUCAACAAUGAUGACUGCUCUACCUAGUUUUUUGGUAUAGUUUCUUCCCUUCUCUGUCUCCUUGUGAUAAAUAACAUUUUUAAAGGAUAUGUAUAAAUAAUAUGGAUCUUGUGGUUAGUGAUUUGCUUCAGGAGAUUUGAGUUUUAGUUCUGAAUCUUCUCAUUAUUGGCCUUUCAUCUGUGAUUCUUGUCUUCCUGCUGGCACAUACUGUGAUGUCAUUUCUGGAGGUAAAAUUAAUGGCAAUUACACAGGUAUUAAAAUCUAUGUUUCUGAUGAUGGCAAAGCUCGGUUUUCUAUUAGCAAAUCUUCUGAAGAUCCAUUUAUUGCAAUACAUGCUGAAUCUAAAUUAGAAAAUUUAAAAUUAAAUGCGUAUACUCAAAA
rnacentral:sRNA from 1 species